rnacentral:rRNA from 1 species
AACGAACGCUGGCGGCAUGCCUAACACAUGCAAGUCGAACGAGACCUUCGGGUCUAGUGGCGCACGGGUGCGUAACGCGUGGGAACCUGCCCUUAGGUUCGGAAUAACUCCCCGAAAGGGGUGCUAAUACCGGAUAAUGUCUUCGGACCAAAGAUUUAUCGCCUUUGGAUGGGCCCGCGUUGGAUUAGCUAGUUGUUAGGGUAAAAGCCUACCAAGGCGACGAUCCAUAGCUGGUCUGAGAGGAUGAUCAGCCACACUGGGACUGAGACACGGCCCAGACUCCUACGGGAGGCAGCAGUGGGGAAUAUUGGACAAUGGGCGAAAGCCUGAUCCAGCAAUGCCGCGUGAGUGAUGAAGGCCUUAGGGUUGUAAAGCGCUUGUACCCGGGAUGAUAAUGACAGUACCGGGAGAAUAAGCUCCGGCUAACUCCGUG